GGUGGUUCUCCAGUGAGAGAACCCUGGAAUCGGGCUCCCUCCUCUCUGGUUCCAGGUGUAUCACCCGAGAACCACC
rfam:Myotis davidii contig143741, whole genome shotgun sequence.